rnacentral:rRNA from 1 species
UACAGAGGUCUCAAGCGUUGUUCGGAUUCAUUGGGCGUACAGGGUGUGUAGGUGGCGCCGUAAGUCGGGUGUGAAAUUUCGGAGCUUAACUCCGAAACUGCAUUCGAUACUGCGGUGCUUGAGGACUGGAGAGGAGACUGGAAUUCAUGGUGUAGCAGUGAAAUGCGUAGAGAUCAUGAGGAAGACCAGUGGCGAAGGCGGGUCUCUGGACAGUUCCUGACACUGAGACACGAAGGCCAGGGGAGCAAACGGG